rnacentral:lncRNA from 1 species
UGUGUGUAAGCAAGUUUUUUUUUAGUGUAGGAGAAAUACUUUUCCAUUGUUUAACUGCAAAACAAGAUGUUAAGGUAUGCUUCAAAAAUUUUGUAAAUUGUUUAUUUUAAACUUAUCUGUUUGUAAAUUGUAACUGAUUAAGAAUUGUGAUAGUUCAGCUUGAAUGUCUCUUAGAGGGUGGGCUUUUGUUGAUGAGGGAGGGGAAACUUUUUUUUUUUCUAUAGACUUUUUUCAGAUAACAUCUUCUGAGUCAUAACCAGCCUGGCAGUAUGAUGGCCUAGAUGCAGAGAAAACAGCUCCUUGGUGAAUUGAUAAGUAAAGGCAGAAAAGAUUAUAUGUCAUACCUCCAUUGGGGAAUAAGCAUAACCCUGAGAUUCUUACUACUGAUGAGAACAUUAUCUGCAUAUGCCAAAAAAUUUUAAGCAAAUGAAAGCUACCAAUUUAAAGUUACGGAAUCUACCAUUUUAAAGUUAAUUGCUUGUCAAGCUAUAACCACAAAAAUAAUGAAUUGAUGAGAAAUACAAUGAAGAGGCAAUGUCCAUCUCAAAAUACUGCUUUUACAAAAGCAGAAUAAAAGCGAAAAGAAAUGAAAAUGUUACACUACAUUAAUCCUGGAAUAAAAGAAGCCGAAAUAAAUGAGAGAUGAGUUGGGAUCAAGUGGAUUGAGGAGGCUGUGCUGUGUGCCAAUGUUUCGUUUGCCUCAGACAGGUAUCUCUUCGUUAUCAGAAGAGUUGCUUCAUUUCAUCUGGGAGCAGAAAACAGCAGGCAGCUGUUAACAGAUAAGUUUAACUUGCAUCUGCAGUAUUGCAUGUUAGGGAUAAGUGCUUAUUUUUAAGAGCUGUGGAGUUCUUAAAUAUCAACCAUGGCACUUUCUCCUGACCCCUUCCCUAGGGGAUUUCAGGAUUGAGAAAUUUUUCCAUCGAGCCUUUUUAAAAUUGUAGGACUUGUUCCUGUGGGCUUCAGUGAUGGGAUAGUACACUUCACUCAGAGGCAUUUGCAUCUUUAAAUAAUUUCUUAAAAGCCUCUAAAGUGAUCAGUGCCUUGAUGCCAACUAAGGAAAUUUGUUUAGCAUUGAAUCUCUGAAGGCUCUAUGAAAGGAAUAGCAUGAUGUGCUGUUAGAAUCAGAUGUUACUGCUAAAAUUUACAUGUUGUGAUGUAAAUUGUGUAGAAAACCAUUAAAUCAUUCAAAAUAAUAAACUAUUUUUAUUAGAGAAUGUAUACUUUUAGAAAGCUGUCUCCUUAUUUAAAUAAAAUAGUGUUUGUCUGUAGUUCAGUGUUGGGGCAAUCUUGGGGGGGAUUCUUCUCUAAUCUUUCAGAAACUUUGUCUGCGAACACUCUUUAAUGGACCAGAUCAGGAUUUGAGCGGAAGAACGAAUGUAACUUUAAGGCAGGAAAGACAAAUUUUAUUCUUCAUAAAGUGAUGAGCAUAUAAUAAUUCCAGGCACAUGGCAAUAGAGGCCCUCUAAAUAAGGAAUAAAUAACCUCUUAGACAGGUGGGAGAUUAUGAUCAGAGUAAAAGGUAAUUACACAUUUUAUUUCCAGAAAGUCAGGGGUCUAUAAAUUGACAGUGAUUAGAGUAAUACUUUUUCACAUUUCCAAAGUUUGCAUGUUAACUUUAAAUGCUUACAAUCUUAGAGUGGUAGGCAAUGUUUUACACUAUUGACCUUAUAUAGGGAAGGGAGGGGGUGCCUGUGGGGUUUUAAAGAAUUUUCCUUUGCAGAGGCAUUUCAUCCUUCAUGAAGCCAUUCAGGAUUUUGAAUUGCAUAUGAGUGCUUGGCUCUUCCUUCUGUUCUAGUGAGUGUAUGAGACCUUGCAGUGAGUUUAUCAGCAUACUCAAAAUUUUUUUCCUGGAAUUUGGAGGGAUGGGAGGAGGGGGUGGGGCUUACUUGUUGUAGCUUUUUUUUUUUUUACAGACUUCACAGAGAAUGCAGUUGUCUUGACUUCAGGUCUGUCUGUUCUGUUGGCAAGUAAAUGCAGUACUGUUCUGAUCCCGCUGCUAUUAGAAUGCAUUGUGAAACGACUGGAGUAUGAUUAAAAGUUGUGUUCCCCAAUGCUUGGAGUAGUGAUUGUUGAAGGAAAAAAUCCAGCUGAGUGAUAAAGGCUGAGUGUUGAGGAAAUUUCUGCAGUUUUAAGCAGUCGUAUUUGUGAUUGAAGCUGAGUACAUUUUGCUGGUGUAUUUUUAGGAACACUCAGCAGACACACGUAUGCGAAGGGCCAGAGAA